rnacentral:rRNA from 1 species
GAUGAACGCUGGCGGCGUGCCUAAUACAUGCAAGUCGAGCGAACAGACGAGGAUCUUGCUCCUCUGACGUUAGCGGCGGACGGGUGAGUAACACGUGUAUAACCCACCUAUAUUACUGGGAUAACUUCGGAAAACCGGAUCAAAUAGCGGAUAAUAUAUUGAACCACGUGGUGCAAUAGUGAAAUACGGUUGUGGUGUCACUUAUAGAUGGAUCCCCGCCUCAUUAGAUAGUUGGUAAGGUAACGGCUUAACAAGGAAACGAUGCGUAGCCGACGUGAGAGGCGGAUCGGCCACACUGGAACUGGAACACGGUCCAGAGUCCUACGGGAGGCAGCAGUAGCGUAGCUUCCGCAGUAGGCGAAAGUCUGACGCAGCAGCGUCGAGUGAGUUGUAGAGGUCUCCGGUUCGUAAAACUCUCUUAUUAGGGAAGAACAACUGUGUACGUAAAUAUGCACGUAUUGACGGUACUUAGUAAGAAAGCAACGGCUAACUACGUG